CCAAAAGGAUUUGGGAUGUCACUUUCUCUUCCUAGUGGUUCACAAUGUGAUCAUGAAUAAUCAUACUAUUUUUUUGAAAAUAGUGGGAGGAUGAACUCAAAGAGAAAGUUUCUAAAGAACAAUGAGUCACAAGAUCUGUAUAACCUAUUUAAGAUGAGCCAGUAUAUAUAGUAACUCCUCUACCUCAUAGAUCUAGUAGGAUCUCCCAUCCUGAAGAAAGAUACUUGAUAUUCUUAUAAAAGAUUUAAAGAAAGUAUUUCUUGAGGAAGAUCGGGAACAUA
rnacentral:lncRNA from 1 species